UUUUUUUUUUCUUUUUUUUUUUAUUGAUCAUUCUUGGGUGUUUCUCACAGAGGGGGAUUUGGCAGGGUCAUAGGACAAUAGUGGAGGGAAGGUCAGCAGAUAAACAAGUGAACAAAGGUCUCUGGUUUUCCUAGGCAGAGGACCCUUCGGCCUUCCGCAGUGUUUGUGUCCCUGGGUACUUGAGAUUAGGGAGUGGUGAUGACUCUCAACAAGCACGCUGCCUUCAAGCAUCUGUUUAACAAAGCACAUCUUGCACCACCCUUAAUCCAUUUAACCCUGAGUGGACACAGCACAUGUUUCAGAGGGCACAGGGUUGGGGGUAAGGUCACAGAUCAACAGGAUCCCAAGGCCGAAGAAUUUUUCUUAGUACAGAACAAAAUGAAAAGUUUCCCAUGUCUACUUCUUUCUACACAGACACGGCAACCAUCCGAUUUCUCAAUCUUUUCCCCACCUUUCCCCACUUUCUAUUCCACAAAACCGCCAUUGUCAUCCUGGCCCGUUCUCAAUGAGCUGUUGGGCACACCUCCCAGACGGGGUGGCGGCCGGGCAGAGGGGCUCCUCACUUCCCAGUAGGGGCGGCCGGGCAGAGACGCCCCUCACCUCCCAGACGGGGCGGCUGGCCGGGCGUGGGGCUGACCCCCCACCUCCCUCCCGGACGGGGCGGCUGGCCGGGCGGGGGGCUGACCCCCCCACCUCCCUCCCAGACGGGGCGGCUGGCCGGGCAGAGGGGCUCCUCACUUCCCAGUAGGGGCGGCCAGGCAGAGGCACCCCUCACCUCCCGGACGGGGCGGCUGGCCGGGUGGGGGGCUGACCCCCCCACCUCCCUCCCGGACGGGGCGGCUGGCCGGGUGGGGGGGCUGACCCCCACCUCCCUCUGAGACGGGGCGGCUGGCCGGGCGGAGACGCUCCUCACUUCCCAGACAGUGUGGUUGCUGGGCGGAGGGGCUCCUCAUUUCUCAGAUGGGGCGGUUGCCAGGCGGAGGGUCUCCUCACUUCUCAGACGGGGCGGCCAGGCAGAGAUGCUCCUCACUUCCUAGAUGGGGUCGCGGCCGGGCAGAGGCGCUCCCCACAUCUCAGACGAUGGGCGGCCGGGCAGAGACGCUCCUCACUUCCUAGAUGGGAUGGCGGCCGGGAAGAGGCGUUCCUCACUUCCUAGAUGGGAUGGCGGCCGGGCAGAGACGCUCCUCACUUUCCAGAGUGGGCAGCUGGGCAGAGGGGCUCCUCACAUCCCAGACGAUAGGCGGCCAGGCAGAGACGCUUCUCACUUCCCAGACGGGGUGGUGGCCGGGCAGAGGCUGCAAUCUCGGCACUUUGGGAGGCCAAGGCAGGCUGCUGGGAGGUGGAGGUUGUAGCGAGCCGAGAUCACGCCACUGCACUCCAGCCUGGGCACCAUUGAGCACUGAGUGAACGAGACUUCGUCUGCAAUCCCGGCACCUCGGGAGGCCGAGGCUGGCGGAUCACUCGCGGUUAGGAGCUGGAGACCAGCCCGGCCAACACAGUGAAACCCCGUCUCCACCAAAAAAAUACGAAAACCAGUCAGGCGUGGCGGCGCGCGCCUGCAAUCGCAGGCACUCCGCAGGCCGAGGCAGGAGAAUCAGGCAGGGAGGUUGCAGUGAGCCGAGAUGGCAGCAGUACAGUCCAGCUUCGGCUUGGCAUCAGAGGGAGACCGUGGAAAGAGAGGGAGAGGGAGACCGUGGGGAGAGGGGAGAGGGGAGAGGGGAGAGAGAGAGGAGAGAGGAGAGAGGAGAGAGGAGAGAGGAGGGAGGGGAGAUAGGAGAGAGCUUCUAAUGAUUUCUUAUAGCCCAUUAACAUCCUUUUCUUUCAAAUUGAAGAACUAUCUUUAGCAUUUCUUACAAGACAAGUCUGGUGUUGAUGAAAUCCCUCAGCUUUUGUUUGUCUGGCUAUUUUGAAUAAGGCUGCUUCAUUAUUUGAAGGAUAUUUUCACUGCAUAUACUAUUCUAGGAUAAAUAGAAUAGUAUAGUCCUUCAGCACUAUAAAUUUGUCAUGCCACUCUCUCCUGGCUUGUAAGAUUUCCACUGAAAAGCCUGCUGUCAGGUAUAUUAGAGCUCCACUGUAUGUUAUUUGUUUCUUUCCCCUUGCUGCUUUUCGGGUCCUUUCUUUAUCCUUGACCUUUGGGAGUUGGUUAUUAAAUGUCUCAAGGUAGUUUUAUUUGGGCUAAAUCUACCUGGUGUUCUAUAACCUUCUUGUACUUGAAUAUUGAUAUCUUUUUCUAGGUUUGGAAAGUUCUCUAUUAUUUUCCCUUUGAAUGAACUUUUUACCCAGAUCUCUCUCUCGACCUCCUUUUUAUGGCCAAUAAGUCUUAGGUUUGACCUUUUGAGGCUCUUUUCUAGAUUUUUUAAUCAUACUUCCUUUUUUAAAAAAUUCUUUUUUCUUUUGUCUCCUUUGACUAUUUUCAAAUAGCCUGUCUUCAAGCUCAUGAAUUCUUUCUUCUGCUUGAUCAAUUCUGUGUUAAGAGACUCCCACAUUCGUCAGUAUAUUAAUUGUAUUUUUCACCUCCAGAAUUUCUGCUUGACACUUUUAAGUUAUUUCAAUCUCUUUGCUAAAUUUAUUGGAUCGGAUUCUGAAUUCCUUCUCUGUAUUAUCUUGAAUUUUGCUGAGUUUCCUCAAAACAGCUAUUUUGAAUUCUUCUUCUGAAAGGUCACAUAUCUCUAUUACUCUGGGAUUGGUCACUGGUGCCUGAUUUAGUUCAUUUGGUGAUCUCAUGUUUUCAUAGAUGGUCUUGAUGCUUGUGGAUGUCCAUUGGUGUCUGGGCAUUGAAGAAUUAAGCAUUUAUUGUGGUCUUCACAGUUUGGGCUUGUUUGCACCUGUACUGGAAAGGCUUUCCAGGUAUUUGAAGGGACUCGGGUGUUGUGAUCCAAGUUUUUUUUUAAAUCACUACAGCCAUAUUUGCCUUAGGGGCAACCCCAAGCCCAGUAACACUAUGGCUCUUACAGACUCAUAGAGGUAGUGCCUUGGUGGUCUUCGAUAAGAUGCAGAAGCAUUAUCCAGAUUACCAAGUAGAGACUCUUGCUCCCUUCCUUUACUUUCUCCCAAACACAUAAAGUCUCUCUCUGUAUGCUGAGCCACCUGGAGCUGGAAGAGGAGUGAUACAAGCACCUCUGUGACUACUACCAUUGGGACUGCACUGAGUCAGACCUAAAGCCAGUACAUAACUGGGUCUUGCCCAAGAGCCACAGUAACUACUGCCUGGUACUUCCUAUGUUCACUCAAGGCCCUAGGGCUCUACAAUAGAAGCCAGCCAGGCUUGUGUCCUUCUCUUCAGGGCAGUGAGUUCCCCUGACUCCAGGUGGGUUCAGAGAUGCCGUCCAGGAGCCAGGCCUAGAGUCAGAAACCUUAGGGAUCUACCUGGUGCUCUAUUCUACUGUGACUGAGCUGGUACCCAAGACACAAGAUAAAGUUCUUCAUACUCUUCCCUCCCUUUGCAGAAGAAUCUCUCCCUGUGGCCACCAUGCCCCAGGCCCACAGCAAGUACUGCCUGGCUACCACCAAUGUUCACUCAAGACCCAAGGCUCUUCAGUCAACUUGUGGUGAAUGCUGCUGGGCCUGGGACUCUCCCUUUAGGGCCCUGGUCCCAGGGAAGGUCCAGAUAUGCCAUCCACAAGCCAAGGCCUGGAAUCAGGAACCCCAAGAGCCUGCUUGGUGCUCUACCCUACUGUGGCUGAGCUGGUACCUAACUGCAAGACAAAGUCCUCUCUACUUUUUUCUCAAGCAGAAGGAGUCCCUCCCUGUGGCUACCAUAGCUGGGAAUGUGCUGGGUUUACACCUGAAGCCAGCACAUCUCUGAAUCUCUCACCCAGGGCCCAUGGUGGAAGGAAGGAGUCUCUCCUGGAGCCAUGAGCUGUGCUGCCUGGUGCUGUGGGAGAGGUGGUGCAAGCAUUUCCUUGGUUACCCUGGCCAGUGUCUCACUAGGUCACAUAACCCCUAAGUCCACUGGCUCUGAUCCUGGAACAGCACCCGGACUUGCCGAGGAAUUGCAGUCCUGUGGCUUAGACUGCCUCUCAAGUUUACUUAGAACCCCAGAGCAUUUUAGCCCACAAUGAUGAGGCUUGCUGGAACUCAGGUCUCAGCUACUGGGAUAGACAAUUCCCCACCCAGAUAGGGCUGGUCUAAAUGCUCUUCCAUGCUUCCAUGGGUUCUGGCUGAGUUUUGGAUGGUGUUGCUUCCCACUGUGACAGGGUGGCAGUGAGUUCCAAUGCAAAGUGUGCCACAAUCACUGUGCUUUCCCUCCCCCAAACACAUAGAUUCUCUCUCCAUGCCAUGUGGCCACUGCCAGGGGAUGGAAGAGGGGUGGUGUCUGCAAUUCAAGAUGGUUUUUUCUACCCUUUUAUGUGCUCUUUAAGUAAUAUGAAGUUAAAACCAGGUACUAUGAUUACUCACCUGAUUUUUGGUUGUUAUGAAGGUGAUUUUUUUGUGUGAAUAGUUGUUCAAUUUGGUGUUCCUGUGGGGAGGACAAUUAGUAGAGGCUUUUAUUCAGCCAUCUUGCCCCACCUCCUCCUCUGCAAUUGUCAACUUUUUUUUUUGAGAUGGGAUCUUGCUAUGUUGCCCAGGCUGGUCUUGAACUCCUAGGCUGCUCAAGGAAUCUUCCCAUCUCAGCCUCCCAAAGUGCUAGGAUUACAGGCAUGAGCCACAUGGCCGGCCUGCAAUAGUCAACUUUUAAUACCCCCACCGAUAUCUUAGACUAGGAUCACUUGGCUGCAAGGAACAGGAACCUUUUUAAACCAGCUCAAGAAAAAGGGGUGUGUAUCAGUCAAGCUUCAAGUGCAGAAAACAGAAAUCACUCUAGCUAUGGUAAAUGGAAGAGGAUUUAAAAGGAAAUGAGAUGUUUAUGAAGUUGUUGCAAAGUUAGGAGGAGUGAGCUGUAAGCUAGACCUCCAGGAAUAAUCCCCAGAAUAAUACUGCAAAACUGGCUGGCCACUGGAGCUGCCAUCUCUUUUACCGUAAGAGAGGUGGAGAAUCAAAAAACCAUCGACGGAACUACCGAUGUUCGAGAACACACUAUUAUAGUUGCAACCGAAGAAUCAGAAUGCUGCUGCUGCUCUAGAUAACUCCUUUUUAAAAUUUUAAUUUUACAUUAAGAAGUUUAGGCCAGGCAUGGUGGCUCACGCCUGUAAUCCCAGCACUUUGGGAGACCAAGGUGGGUGGGUCACCUGAGGUCAGGAGUUCAAGAUCAGCCUGACCAACAUGGUGAAACCCCAUCUCUACUAAAAAUACAAAAUUCACCAGGUGAGGUGGCAGACGCCUGUAAUCUCAGCUACUCGGGAGGCUGAGGCAGGAGAAUUGCUUGAACCCAGGAGGCAGAGGUUGCAGUGAGCUGAGAUUGCGCCAUUGCACUCCAGCCUGGGCAACAAGUGUGAAACUUUGUCUCAAAAAAAAAAUUUUUUUUUAUUUUAAAAUUUUUGUGGGUAUAUAGUAGGUAUAUACAUUUAUGAGGUAUAUGGAAUAUUUUGAUACAGACAAACCAUGUGUGAUAAUCACACCAGUGUAAAUGAGGUAUCCAUCACCUUAAGCAUUCGUCCUUUAUGUUACAAAUAAUCCAAUUAUACUCUUUUAGUUAUUUAAAAUGUACAAUUAAAUUAUUAUUGGCUAUAGUCACCCUGUUGUGGUAUCAAAUACUAGAGCUUAUUCAUUUCAACUAUUUUUUUGUACUCUCUAACCACUAUUCCCCUCACCCCCACCUCUACCCCGCUACUCUUUCCGGCUUUUGGUAACUGAUAUGGUUUUGCUGUGUAACAUCCAAAUCUCAUCUUGAAUUCCCAAGUGAUGUGGGAAGGACCCAGUGGGAGGUAAUUGAAUUAUGGGGGCAGGUCUUUCCCAUGCUGUUCUUGUGAUAGGGAAUAAGUCUCACAAGAUCUGACAGUAUUAUAACGGGGAGUUUUCCUGUACAAGCUCUCUCUUUUUUUGCCUGCUACCAUCCAAGUAAGAUGUGACUUGUUCCUCCUUGCCUUCUGCCGUGAUUGUGAGGCCUCCCUAGCCAUGUGGAACUAUAAAUCCAGUAAACCUUUCUUUUGUAAAUUACCCAGUCUCA
rnacentral:lncRNA from 1 species